rnacentral:rRNA from 1 species
AGUGAACGCUGGCGGUAGGCCUAACACAUGCAAGUCGAACGGCAGCACAGUAAGAGCUUGCUCUUACGGGUGGCGAGUGGCGGACGGGUGAGGAAUACAUCGGAAUCUACUUUUUCGUGGGGGAUAACGUAGGGAAACUUACGCUAAUACCGCAUACGACCUACGGGUGAAAGCAGGGGAUCUUCGGACCUUGCGUGAUUGAAUGAGCCGAUGUCGGAUUAGCUAGUUGGCGGGGUAAAGGCCCACCAAGGCGACGAUCCGUAGCUGGUCUGAGAGGAUGAUCAGCCACACUGGAACUGAGACACGGUCCAGACUCCUACGGGAGGCAGCAGUAGGGAAUAUUGGACAAAGGGCGCAAGCCUGAUCCAGCCAUGCCGCGUGGGUGAAGAAGGCCUUCGGGUUGUAAAGCCCUUUUGUUGGGAAAGAAAAGCAGCAGGUUAAUACCCCGCUGUUCUGACGGUACCCAAAGAAUAAGCACCGGCUAACUUCGUG